GACGAACCGUGCGAACGUUGUUCGGAAUCACUGGGCUUAAAGGGCGCGUAGGCGGCCAGGCAAGUCGGGGGUGAAAUCUUUCGGCUCAACCGGAAAAUUGCCUUCGAUACUGCCCGGCUCGAGCGAGAUAGGGGUCAUGGGAACGACCAGUGGAGCGGUGAAAUGCGUUGAUAUUGGUCGGAACGCCGGUGGCGAAAGCGCAUGACUGGAUCUCUUCUGACGCUGAGGCGCGAAAGCUAGGGGAGCGAACGGG
rnacentral:rRNA from 1 species